CUUUGAGAAAAUGCUAGAAAAAAAAGGACUGGAUGGUUGGAUCAAAGAUGACGAUUGCUGAUCUUGCAGUGUAUAACACAUUUGAUUUUAUAGCCGAAAUUGCUAUGAAAAACACCGGGACAGAUAUCUUUGAUAAAAAAAAACCACACUGAAAGAGCACUCAAAUCGAGUGGGGUCCAUCCCGAAAAUCAAAGCAUGGGUGCAGAAUCGUCCUAAAACUAAUUUGUGAGCGUGUUUAUGGCAUGGAAUUGAACUUUUGAUAUUCAAAGACUGCAAUUAAAUUGAAUCUCAUUAAUUGUAUUAAAAAAUAGUUUUAAUCUCGGUCUAUGUUCGUAUGUUAUUGUAUGCUACUGAAUAUUGAUGGCAUGCUGACAUUGUAUAAAUACUGAAUAUACAAACUUGGAAA